rnacentral:rRNA from 1 species
GACGAACGCUGGCGGCGUGCCUAAUACAUGCAAGUUGAGCGCUGAAGGUUGGUACUUGUGCCAACUGGAUGAGCAGCGAACGGGUGAGUAACGCGUGGGGAAUCUGCCUUUGAGCGGGGGACAACAUUUGGAAACGAAUGCUAAUACCGCAUAAAAACUUUAAACACAAGUUUCAAGUUUGAAAGAUGCAAUUGCAUCACUCAAAGAUGAUCCCGCGUUGUAUUAGCUAGUUGGUGAGGUAAAGGCUCACCAAGGCGAUGAUACAUAGCCGACCUGAGAGGGUGAUCGGCCAAAUUGGGACUGGGACACGGCCCAAACUCCUACGGGAGGCAGCAGUAGGGAAACUUCGGACAUGGACGAAAGUCUGACCGAGCAACGCCGCGGGAGUGAAGAAGGUUUUCGGAUCGUAAAACUCUGUUGGUAGAGAAGAACGAUGGUGAGAGUGGAAAGCUCAUCAAGUGACGGUAACUACACAGAAAGCGACGGCUAACUACGUG